rnacentral:tRNA from 1 species
GCCCGGCUAGCUCAGCUGGUAGGGCACGUGACUUUUAAACGUGGGGUCCUGAGUUCAGACCUCACGUUGGGCC